AGCAGGCACCUUACUGGAACAGGAAGUAUCACUACUGGAUUUCUCCAAACAGUGCCAGCGGGAAGUAGCAAGUGGCAAGAAGUAGCAGGCCAAGGAGCCAACAAUAAGCAAGAACCAGUGCUCUAAAUCUGAAUAUUUCCUGGAUUUGGAGAAGUUCAGAUCAGGACUUAGCUCAGAUUCAUCUCUACUUCCUAGGUCCAGUAUACAGACCACAUUAACUGUGGGGUGAGAGGAUGUUCAUUUUUUCUGAUGGGACUCACUGCAGCUCACCUGGUUCAGAGCGGAGCUAAAGAUCAUUACUGUUCAUUUACUCUCCAGUGAUUUUCACAAUGCUAUGUACUUCCUCAGUAUGGGCAAAAUCAACUGAUUCAG